rnacentral:rRNA from 1 species
AUUGAACGCUGGCGGCAGGCUUAACACAUGCAAGUCGAGCGGGGGAAGGUAGCUUGCUACUGGACCUAGCGGCGGACGGGUGAGUAAUGCUUAGGAAUCUGCCUAUUAGUGGGGGACAACAUCUCGAAAGGGAUGCUAAUACCGCAUACGUCCUACGGGAGAAAGCAGGGGAUCUUCGGACCUUGCGCUAAUAGAUGAGCCUAAGUCGGAUUAGCUAGUUGGUGGGGUAAAGGCCUACCAAGGCGACGAUCUGUAGCGGGUCUGAGAGGAUGAUCCGCCACACUGGGACUGAGACACGGCCCGGACUCCUACGGGAGGCAGCAGUGGGGAAUAUUGGACAAUGGGGGGAACCCUGAUCCAGCCAUGCCGCGUGUGUGAAGAAGGCCUUAUGGUUGUAAAGCACUUUAAGCGAGGAGGAGGCUACUCUAGUUAAUACCUAGGGAUAGUGGACGUUACUCGCAGAAUAAGCACCGGCUAACUCUGUGCCAGCCGCCGCGGUAA